rnacentral:rRNA from 1 species
AACGAACGCUGGCGGCAGGCCUAACACAUGCAAGUCGAACGUGAAGCCACCUUCGGGUGGUGGAAAGUGGCAGACGGGUGAGUAACGCGUGGGAACGUGCCUUUCGGUUCGGAAUAACCCAGGGAAACUUGGGCUAAUACCGGAUACGCCCUUCGGGGGAAAGAUUCAUCGCCGAAAGAUCGGCCCGCGUCGGAUUAGCUAGUUGGUAGGGUAAUGGCCUACCAAGGCGACGAUCCGUAGCUGGUCUGAGAGGAUGACCAGCCACACUGGGACUGAGACACGGCCCAGACUCCUACGGGAGGCAGCAGUAAGGAAUAUUGGGCAAUGGACGAAAGUCUGACCCAGCCAUGCCGCGUGAAGGAUGAAGGUCCUCUGGAUUGUAAACUUCUUUUAUCUGGGGCGAAAAUCGGGUAUUCUUAUCCGCUUGACAGUACCAGAGGAAUAAGCACCGGCUAACUC